rnacentral:lncRNA from 1 species
AAUGCAUUUUAAACGCACUGCCUUAAAGACUGACCAAUGGCUACAUCUACAACUGCUGGAAAACAAAUUAACUGAUACCAAACGAAUGAGUCUAGAUUUUCUGUCAAAAUGGCAAGUUAGGCUUAAGUAAGAUUAAAAUAAAUGUCAGUAUCAAGAGUACAAAAUCAAGUUGUCCAACCACGUAGAGUAACCCCCCUCCCUACGUAUUAGAGUUGACUUCCUGGAACCCUCACUGUAGAGGAAUCUGUGUUGGGGGGACUUAUGAGCCUCGGGGGGGGGGGGAUUACAGCAGGGAAGUGGGUGUUAUGACAGCCCAGACGCUUGGUCUGUUCACUGAAAUAAGACACUAAGUAAAGUGAAUCUUGUUGGUAUUUUACUAAUUUCACAUCAGUAACAGUGAUGACUGGGCAACCGAUUUCUGCUUCUCUCUGAUCUCAAAGUCAGGACAAUCAUGCGUCAGUGAAAACGCUGGUCAUCACAGUAGUGAUAGGGAAAGAAUCAAGACAAUUGGGUUUUGUCUGGAGAGAAGUAAGCUCAACCUUCCGUUCUACUUUCCUCUUCUAGCACUUGGAUCACCACAUCAUCAGAGCUGUUGGAGUCUGAAUCCCAAGGUUCAACUAUCUGUGUGUGGCCUUUCUGCCUGCUGUUUGUAGAAUGGGUUUGAAUGACAUGGCCCCAAGGUCCAGCCUCUUCUUCCCUGUUGAAGCAAACAGAGAGAAAGACUUAUUGGCCUUCAUUUAAAGGUUUCUUAUUACUGCUUUAUAGGGUUGUGGGUAAUCGUUUAAAUCUUGCCUUCAGGUCAAUAAAUAUUCCAUCGAAAGAUCUCUUUCCUCUGAAUCAUCACAGCAAUUUGACUUGUGGAACAGCUGCUCCUACAUCCUUUGAGUUCUGGAUGUUAACCUAUGCUGACCUGUGGUAUCAACUUUUGAUGUGAUCACAUCUCUGAAAAAGUUCUCAACUAUCUUCUGAGGGUGAGAAUCUAACACUUCAGCAAAAUGUCACUUAAAUCAAUGUCUUCAAAUCCUUCGCCACCCAAAUGUUUUGCAGAUGCUACAACCUCUUCAAUUUCAUCUGCCACUGGGAGAAAACUUUCAGAGUCCAUUGCAACCUCAUUCCCAAGUUUGUGCCAGGCUCCAUUAAGGGUUGCCUGUGUUAUUUCUCGCAUUGACUCUUCCACUAUUGUUAAAGCAUUACAAAUGGGGAAAUUUUGUCAAGCUACUUUCAGUCAGUUCUGGCGUCUCUCUCAUACGAUCUGCAAGUUAGGGUUUGGGGGCAAGUUUGGGAUUUGUGGAGUUAGUGUGGCGUGA